AAGGAUCAUUACCAUAUGUAUCCAUAUAAACACCUGUGAACUCUGAUUGUAACCUCCGUUCGUUGUUGAGUGGGCGUUGCAUUGCGCGUUUGUGGAGCUCUUGAGUGGUGGUAGCUUCCGUCGCAUUGUACUCAUCCUUCAUUGGAUGACCCGCUUGACUCGAAUGUGUAUUCCACUACUCAUUCCUUUCUAAUACUACUACUAUUAACACCUUGUACCCAUUGUGAACUGAACAUAACGCACAGCUUUCACUAGCAGUGUCGUAAAAUGUACGAAACGUGCGAACAACUCUUAACAACGGAUAUCUUGGUUCUC
rnacentral:misc_RNA from 1 species